GGGAGAUACAUUCGGACAGGUAAGAUGGGCCAGAACCAUUGUAGGUCAAAACCAGCACUUUGAAUUGGGCUGGGUAGCAUAUAGGCAGCCAGUGGAGCUGACUCAACAUGGGAGUAGUACGCUCCCUGUAAGCCACUCCUGUUAUUAGUCUGGCUGCUGCCCCUUGUACUAGUUGGAGCUUCCGAGACCUCUUCAAAGGCAGCCCCACGUACAGCGCGUUGCAGUAGUCCAAACGGGAUGUAACCAGAGCGUGGACCACCGUGGCCAAGUCAGACCUCCCAAGGUACGGGCGCAGCUGGUGCACAAGUCUGAGUUGUGCGAAGGCUCCCCUGGCCACCGCCGAGACCUGGGGCUCCAGGCUCAGCGAUGAGUCCAGGAGAACCCCCAGACUGCGAACCUAUGCCUGGGCUAGCAUUUCAAGAAGCCUUUCCCUUUCUUUUUCUCCCAAAGAGGAGAGACUGGAAUCCUGAGACUUCUCCCUCCAACUCUGCCUCCCUUCCUUUCCUUCCUUCCUUUCCUUCCUUCCUUCCUUCCUUCCUUCCUUCCUUCCUUCCUUCCUUCCUUCCUUCCUUCCUUCCUUCCUUCCUUCCUUCCUUCCUUCCUUCCUUCCUUUCAGAAAGCCUGGAAGGUGGGAACAGCCCAAGUCGGAGGCGAGUGCGCGCUCCCGUUGUCUCCUUCCCUCCUUCCAUCCAUCCCGCCUCUUUCUCUCGCGCACAGGUAUGGAGUUGGAAGGAAAAGGCUUGCCUUCGUUCCAGGACUGACUGCCAGACCUUUCUCCGUUGCUUUCCUCUCCUCCUUCAGCCUCUGCUCCCCUCGGUCUCCCUCCAAACAACAACCGCAAGGCGCCCGGAGUUGCCACUCGCGGUCUCCGCCGGGUGCCUGGAAAGAAAGGCUCCAGCUGCGCGCUCGGUGCUCCUUUCCCGAAUUUGGGGAUGGAGAAAGAAGCCCUUCUUCCCGGACUCCGUCUCCAGCCUCUCUUCUUCCUCCUCCUCCUUCCUUCCUGGGAAGUGCGAGGAGAGAAGACAGAACUGCCCACCUUCUCAGCAACUGCUGGCCUCCAGUCUGUGUUGGAGGACAAUGUCUCGCCAGCCUUCAGUGCCACCAUCAUCAUCAUCGUCACUGUCAUCAUCUCCGGGAGUGCUUACCUGUGCUUUUUGAAAUACAUCUGUGCUGGAUGUUGUAAAUCCACCCAGACAACAGCUUCUAAGUGACGCUUCAGUUACAAAGCUCUGCCAUUUUUCACUCUUUUACCUUGGAGAAGCAGAGCCAAACAUAAAGCAGGGUUGGGAUACAAGUGACCCUUCAGAUGAUUUUGUACCUGCCAUCAAGAUAACUGCGGUCGAACAACAUGAGGAGAGCUAAGCAUUGUAUCUGCCUGAACUUAUAAAAAUGUUACAAUCUGGAAAAGACCAAAAUACAUGCCCAAUAUAGGUCACUCCAAUACACUGGUGCCUGCAUAACGUUAAAUCAUGAAUCUGUCCUACAGUUCCAAGGCGGCAUCAGAACAACAUGUUUUUCAAGAUGCUGAUAGUCACCAUGAAUGCAUGGUUAACUAUGUACGGGGAAGUCACCUUCCCAGCACAACAGACUGUAUUUGUUUCUUUCAAAUAAGACAAUCCUGGGAUUAUUGUGCUUUUCUAAAAGCCACAGCCUGAGCUCCAAGCAGAAUUAUGAAAUGAGUCUGGUACUAUUUUUGAUAGGUGCUCAUUUAGCGAAGUACUGCAGUGUGUGCAGAUUUUGUAGUAUCACUGUGGCACUUUCAGUAAUGUUUAUGCUCAGUGGCUGUGUUUGAUUGCUCCUCAGUUGUUCUUUACCAACUUGUACAUUUGUAAAUAAACACAGACGUGUGGGCUCCAGUGCUCCUUCUUUCUUUUGCCAACAACAACUGGAUAGGUUUCUGGGUUGCCUUCUAUGCCUAAAGGCAGAACUGAGAUCCUACAUCAGGGGUCCUCAAACUUUUGAAGCAGAGGGCCAGUCCACAAUCCUUCAGACUGUUGAGGGGCCGAAUUAUCAUUUGAAAAAAAAAUACGAACAAAUUCCUAUGCACAUUGCAUAUGUCUUAUUUGUAAUGCAAUACAACAAUAACAAUUAAAG
rnacentral:lncRNA from 11 species